CUCGUUCGAGAGGAGAAAAAAAGGAGCUUGUUCUUUCAGAUUUUUCAGCUGGGAUACACGUCUGAGCUUAACAUAAAGCAAGGACAAAUCUACAUCAAACAAGAUGGCGGCUUGAUCGGGAAAGGUCUUCUGUCUGAUGUUGCUAGGCAACGAGACCUUCAAUUCUUGCCAAACAUUGAACCAUCAUCCCUACCUCAUCAAGGAAAUUGGUACCAUUUCUGUCUGAAGCUGUAAAUGAAGGGGAGAGAGGAGGAUUUGGUCACGAGGGGGACUUGGUCAGUGGAUCUCCUCCUGCCUCCUUUGAAAACCGAUGUCUGCAUCUGACAGUCCUCAGAAAGUCUUCAGAAAUGGUUCAGCUCUAGUGAAAGCGGAAAAUGGCUGUCACGUUGGGAGGAGUUGUGAAGCGAAAAGUUUCCUUUCUUCACAACUGCAUCCUUGACUUGUUUGAUACUUCUCAAUCGUGUUUUCUUUAACUUUACGCUGUUCGUCUUCUUCUCUACUCCCCCCCCCCUCCCACAGGGGAUUUAUAAUGUGUGCGACCCCCUCAACCAAAACACUUGUGUCUUAACUUGUCUAUGUCGCUACUGGAAAGAACGCCAAAACUGCUUCAUCGGAGUCUUAUGAUUGAAAGAUGAUCCUUUUUCCGGUAGGUGGCUAAAUGUGUUAGCUUCUUCGCGAGUUUGAGGGUUCCAUAUGAAAACUGAUCGCUUCCGUUUGAAUAAUUAAUCGUUUGGUUUAUUUACGCGACCGACCUGUCCGUGAAGCUUAAAAAUCUACAAUUUGUCAGCGGUCUUUUAUGAGACAGAAGAACAAGUUAUCUCUCUGAAAUACGUGAUGAAAAUACGAGGUGUUUUCGGUCGACGAACGCCGAGCAAAGUCUUUUAUUUGGUCGAAUACGCGACAUUCAAAUUUUAAAGAGUUAGAAGGAUAUCCUUACGCAUGCGUUAUAACGAUCACAAAAAUAGAUGGAAAAAUACAGUUGGCGCCAGUAAGUCUGCAAGACCGGAAAUCAUGCUGUUGAUCUUGGCGGCAAAACGCGUGAGACUAAAAUACCAGUGCUCUCAAGCCGGAUCUCGCGUGUAUUAGAACCCUUACUCGUUGUUUAUCCUUCGUCUUUCCAAUCAAGCUUACUUUCUGCGAUAUUUUUUUCCUCUUGUCAUCUCGCACAAAAGAACUUGGAAUCGUAGCCUUUGAUAACUUUGACCCGAAGGUUACAAGUUUUGAUUAGUACCAGAAUGUUUGUUGCUUAGGAGAACUGAUUGAAAUUUCGCGGAUGAGAAAUAUUCAAGUUUUAACUAUGGCCUCACAAUGUAAUUGCUAAGCGUAAGGCGGUUUUAGCAUGUCACAAAAGAGGUUUUCGCCUCUCAGUUUACUAACGAAAACAAACUUUAGAUGCAAUAUUUGAUGGAGUCUUAAUAACAAAAUACCGGAAACACGUAUUAAUCACUGCUUGAAGUUCAACUUUGAAGUAUUUUAAACCUCCCAUCUGGCAAAAGGAAUUAGAACAUCUUGAAAAAGAUCAACUCUGAGGAUCUAUUGAAGACCGAAUGAGACCAUAUUUCGACUCGUUCGCUACGCAAAGAAACUAAAAAUAAACCACAUGGCUGGAUGGCUACAGCGUCUGUUUAAAAGUUCUUGACAAAACAACCACAACAACUGCUCAAGGCAAAGUGUUCGUGCUUGUUACCACAGAAGUUAAAUUAAAAAACAAGACAUUUCUUUCCC
rnacentral:lncRNA from 1 species